UCAUCUUCUCAGUUUGGGGUUGUACCACAAUUUUUGCUUAAAUCUUCUUACACUUCUUUUCAAUUCAUCCUCCUCUCUCUUUCAAUCUUCUGUUCAUUACUUUUUUCAAUGGAUUUCUUCCUAUUUUGUCAACUUCUUGCUUGAAGUAUCUAUAUUCAUGGGUCUUCUACUUUGGGUGUUACAAGGUUCAGGUUAGUGUGUGAGCUAUUUUUUGUUUCAGUCUUUCUUCUAUUUUGUUUCAUUUUUUGUCUGCUAUUAUCCUUUGUUAGUGUUUGUUAUUUAUUUUGGAUUUUCUUUUGUGCAUUUUGUUUCUUCUUUGUAUCUCAUGUUUAAUUUUUGUCUUCAUAUGCAAAUUCUAUCAAUAUAAUACUUCUGCUUUCAUUUGUGGUCAAAGCGACUGGGUUAAAUUUUUAGUUAAAUUUGAUUUAAGUUUCUUUUCAUUUGGUUUUAUUGCUUUUGUCUUUUUGCCUCUUCUUGGUAGAAGAACACUACUAAUGGAACUGUUUAAUAUGGGACAUGUGGGUGCUACUACCUGAAACUUGAGUUAGUUUUAAUUGGGUUUUGUUAUAUUUUUAGGUAAAACUUUUUGUGCAACAAGUGUUUGAUGAAUUUAUUGAAAGAAAUUACUUUACAUUAAACUUCUAGAUUCUCCCUUAUCGAGGCUUGAGCUUUGAUAGAUCAUGGCUACACAUUUUGUGGGUUCAAAAGUAAUAUACUUUGUUUGACAGAGAACUUUCUAUCCUUAUGGUCUCUCCAUCGAGGAGUUAAUCACUUGCAAUUUACAUCACGUCUUCUUUCAUCGGAAAGAACCAUCUAGAAGAACUUUAUAUCUCUACCACAAAAUUCAGUCAUAUCUCAAAAAAUUGAAUAUAGCCUAUAGUCUAUCUUUCUUUCCUUUUUGUUAUAAUGGUGGUGAUAACACCUUCUCAUUUUUUCCAUUUUUCUCUAUUUAUUUAGAUGAACCGAAAAAUAUAAUGCAUUUUUUUCGCGUUGCGGGAAGACUUUACAAUGAUUAAUAAUUAUAGGAAGAUCACUCUACCACAUUGCUUUGUCCUCAUUUGAUAUUUUAUCAAAUUUAAUAACUACCGAAGCAAAACAAGAAUUAGAAAAUAUGUUAACUUUGUAUUAAACUUAAAACACAUAUCUUCUCUGAUCAUCAUAAUUCAUCUAACUCAUUUUCUAAAUGAGUUUAAUGGCAAUCGUUUAAUAUCAUUCCUCCUUUAUCUAACUUCUUUUCAAUUUUUGACUUUGCAGAGAAUGUUCAAGCUUUGUUCCCACUUUGAAUUUACCUUAUUGAAACAGGUUUGUACUCAAAAGAUAGAAAAAUAUUUACUUGCCAUGGUCAUGGACGACUCGACGCACCUCCUCCAUCAUUUUCAAAAAGGUUAUAAAUUAUCUAUCUUGGCCACGUAUUAUGUUUAUCUUUAUGAUGGUGAGGUCUAAAUCUCUGCACGUAAUUUGUUGGGUGUGCUUGCUUUUGUUCUUUAAUUUAAAGUUAAACUCUUUCUAAAUAGAUAAGUAUAACAUUCUUUUUGGGACGAGCUAAAAAAAAUAUAACACAUAAAUUGGGACAGAGAAAUUACGUUUUAUUUGUGAAUUACAACACAAUUACUCUAUACCCCACUGCACUAUUUUCAUGAGAUACUUUUGUUCGGUGAGUUUAUGCACUAAGAUUGAGUACAAACAGAGAAAGGAUGGUUUAGCAUGAUUAAUGUAGAGUUAUUUGUUAACUGUUAUAUGGUAUAACUUCGUUAUUCUUUUUGUUCAUUAAUCAUUGCAAAUUGGAUAUGUGUCGCAUGUUGAUGCCAAGGACAAACCAAAAAUUUGAGAAAGAAAAAUAUAUGACCUGGACUGAGUCCGUUUCAAAUACGCGGUGCUCUUGCGGACAGAAUAACACAAAAAAGUUAUUGAUGUUACUUGGUUUAUCAACCAUUUAGAUUCCAUGUUGAUUAACUUCUAAUCGGAAGGGUCAAGAUUAAGCAUUAUUUUGAGCUGACUAUAUCUCGAAGGACAUUUUUUAUUUGAUUACAUCUUUUGCGGUAUUUUUUGAAAUCUAAAUUAUUUUUAUUUGUUGAUUUUCUUAUAGACUGAUUAUUCAUCAAAUAGAAGUUUAAGGAAGUCAUCCUUUUAAAGAAGUCUGAUGACUCUGAUGACUGAGGUAUGUAUUGGGUCAUGAGCAACAACAACUUGAUGAGUAAAUAAAAUAAGUUUAUUUUUCUCGGAUUUUUUUGGUUUUCGGGUUUUUUUGAUUUUUUUUUCAUAAAGUUUUCAUAGCACAAAACGUAAAAGUAGAUUGUAGUAACGACGUCUUUGCUUUUAAAGACAUUGCUAGCGUGACUCAUACACUAGGAUAUAGUACUUUGCUUUUAAAGACAUUGCUAGCGUGACUCAUACACUAGGAUAUAGUACUCCAGAGUAAUUGAUUUGCAUAGAUACUUGGCUUGCGUCUAUGUUCUCUCUUUCUAGCUUAUUUUUGUAUGAUGAUAUAUUUCAAAUUCUUGGUGUGGGACUUGUAGUAGUAAAUAUUUUCUAUUAAGAAUAUUUAAUAUCUUAUUCUUUUCUCAGAAUAGGAGCAAGCUCUUAUGAUGGAGAUCAAGAAGAAUAUAAAAUAGCGGAUAUUUCCAGCAAUGUGCAAAUCCUUGCAAUACCAUAUAUGGCUCUUAACUUGACUACAUAAUUUUUAUUGUUCAUAGGUGGUAUAGCACUGAUAGCAACAUAAUACGUUUGGUUAAUCAUUUGGUAUAUAAUGAUAGGUAGGAAAUGAACAAUUAGUCAUAUGCUUGGAUUUGGUUUUGUAAAUGAUUUUAAAAGAAAAGCACAACAAAAUGAAAUAUUUGUUCGGUUCUACACACGCCGGCCCCUGGGGAGGUAAAUAUGCUUUUCUAUGUCUCAC
rnacentral:lncRNA from 1 species